rnacentral:rRNA from 1 species
UACGUAAGGGGUACGCGUUAGCGUGAAUUACUGGGCGUAAAGGGCGCGUAGGCGGCACUGUUAGUCAGGCGUGAAAGUCCUGGCUCAACCUGGGAACUGCGCUUGAUGACGGCGAGCUAGAGGAUGGAAGAGGCUCGCGGAAUUCCCAGUGUAGCGGUGAAAUGCGCAGAUAUCAGGAGGAACACCGAUGGCGAAGGCAGGCUCUGGGCAUUAACUGACGCUGAGGAGCGAAAGCUGGGGAGCGAACAGG